rnacentral:rRNA from 1 species
UACGGAGGGUGCAAGCAUUAAUCGGAUUUAUUGGGCGUAAAGGGCGCGUAGGCGGAAAUGUAAGUCAGAUGUGAAAUCCCGGGGCUCACCCCCGGAACAGCAUUUGAAACUACAUUCCUUGAGGGUAGGCGGAGAAAACGGAAUUCCACAAGUAGCGGUGAAAUGCGUAGAUAUGUGGAAGAACACCAGUGGCGAAGGCGGUUUUCUAGCUUAUUCCUGACGCUGAGGCGCGAGAGCAAGGGGAUCAAAC